GUCACGUGCUUUUUCCUGUGCGGUUCCUCAGGUUCAAACAUGGCUGUCUUGUGUCCUAAUCCAUAGUUUGUUUCUGCACAUCGCUGGUAGGACUGGGGGACGUUUUUAUUUUUCUUUUAUACUUUUAUUUUUUAAAAAAUUGUUGUCGUACAAAGACAAGGACAACGGAUCGAGUGUUCAGCGCGUCUAAAGCCAUCGUGAAAGGGGACUAGCGUUCCCCAGUCGCUGGACUUAGACAGGCUGUUGCCGAUCAGCGAUCACUACCGCGUCCUCUUGUUUUUCAAAGUCGACUCUAAAUUAUGGCUGAUGACCACGAUGUUAUUGGAAGUGCUUCGGAAUUCAUUAAGGAACGAUUGUACUUUGCAACAUUGCGUACUCGGCCCAAGUCUACUGCCCACACUCAUUACUUCAGUACCGAUGAUGAAUUGGUUUAUGAAAACUUCUAUGCAGAUUUUGGACCAUUGAACCUUGCAAAUCUAUACCGCUACUGUUGUAAAGUUAACAAGAAGUUGAAGUCCUUCUCUUUGGCCAAAAAGAGAAUUGUCCACUAUACAAGUUUUGAUGCUAGAAAAAGAGCCAAUGCUGCAUUUUUGAUAGCCUCAUAUGCUAUAAUCUACUUAAAAAAGACACCAGAGGAAGCCUACAAACCUCUUGUUGCGGGGUCCAACCCACCUUUUCUACCUUUCAGGGAUGCAUCAUUUGGGCCAUGUUCUUACAACCUUACUCUUCUAGACUGUCUACAUGGUCUUAGCAAAGCACUAUCAAAUGGUUUCUUUAAUUUUGAAACAUUUGAUGUGGAUGAGUAUGAACAUUAUGAGAAAGUAGAAAAUGGUGAUUUCAACUGGAUUGUGCCAGGUAAAUUUCUGGCUUUUUGUGGGCCUCAUCCUAAAUCAAAGAUUGAAAAUGGGUACCCACUGCAUGCACCAGAGGCCUACUUUCCGUAUUUCCGAAAACAUAAGGUGGCAGCCAUUGUUCGUCUAAACAAAAAAAUUUAUGAUGCCAGACGUUUCAAGGAUGCAGGCUUUGACCAUUACGAUCUGUUCUUUGUGGAUGGGAGUGUCCCCACUGAUGUGAUUGUCCGUCAAUUCUUGGAGCUGGCUGAAAAUUCAGAUGGUGCUGUUGCUGUUCACUGCAAAGCUGGUCUGGGUCGCACGGGAACACUAAUUGGUUGCUACAUCAUGAAGCACUACAAGUUCACUGCCGCAGAGGCUAUUGCCUGGUGUCGUAUUUGUCGUCCAGGAUCGAUCAUUGGUCCUCAGCAGAACUUCUUGGAAGAGAAACAGGCUUGGCUAUGGAUGCAAGGGGAUUUGUAUCGUGCUAAACAUAAAGCUGACUUCAAAGAACGCCAACGAGAGCGUCACCAUAGUGUGUCUAAUCUUCUGUCCAGUGUAGAUGAUAUGCGGAUCCAUGAUGCAAUCGAGAAUGACAACCGAUUUAGCUCUUACGACAAUAUCUAUGACCCUCCCAUCACACGUAGCUCAGAUGUGGAAACUCAGGGUGACAAACUCAACCAGCUCAAGCUGCUGCGGAAGCACCCUCGCUCAGCAACUACAGGCACGGUCUCUGUUGUAGAAGACGGUAAGGGUCACAAGCGCACUACCACCCAGCCCCUGCGUUCUUCUGGUUCCAAAAGUGCCCAGUGUGCUGUCUCUCCUCUCAAGUCCUCCAAAGUCUCCUCCACCUCCGUCCUGUCCAACAACCACUCCAACGGCAGUGUUAAGCGUGUCCCUCGCCAUUCUCUCACCACGACAACCAGUACCAGCACAAAGAGAAGAAACCAGAUGCAUAGUUUGCGGAAGAGUAUGCACACUAGCUCUACGCGAGUAGGCAUGGGUUUAGAGUCAGUCUACUCAGACUAUAAAGGCCCGGAGUUAAAAAGCAGCAUGUUUGGUAGUAGCUGUGAUAUCUAUAAAACGUCCAGUGAUUUCACGUCUACAUGGCCCUACAAAUAUCACUUGCGCUCCAACCACACAAGACUGGCAAGACUUUAUUGACCAGGAUACCAGAUUCCUGCCUGUUACUCAAGAGUUCUGGGAGGUUGGUGAUACAGUGUAGUAGCAACAACAAAAUACAUUGUAACUGUGGAAAUCCAAUUUGCUUGAAGAGGUCAGUGCCACAUGCUCGCACCAGUAAAGUGACCCUACUGCGAUGACAAGCCCAAACCACAGAGGUGCACAGCACUGCAUUUGAUUGGCAAGAAUACGAAACUACAGCUGUGAUAGCUUCACAGGCAGCGAGCAGCGUCUUAGUUCUUAGAUCUUACCUCUCCCCUUUGUUAUUGGAGAACUAUUUGUGUGUCUUCUUGUUUGAUACAAUAAUUUUUAAUGUACUGCAGCAGAGCUGCAUAUUUUUUAAUGUUUUGGAUGAAGUCACUUUAAAAGAUAGGAAAAUAAUAGAAAGCCUUUUUGUUCUUAAAAAGAUAUUGGAGGGACAGAAAUACAUCAUUUACUCUUAACUCCUAAUUUUCAAUCAGGGUCACCCCAUAAUUCUUCUGCUUCACCCCAUUCAAAAGAAAAGAACUGACAUUUUUCUACAUUUGUUCUUUAUUUUGUAAAGUACACUUUUAACAGAAAAUAUGUGAUGCAAUUUUUUUCUAGCUUUAUGUUUAUUGAGACACACAGUUUGGAUCAUAAUGUACAUAGUGUCAGCACAAGCUGAUCCGGCAGCAGGAGAUUCCCACCCACCCACCCCUUGAAUUUGUAUCUUCAUUUGCAAUAGCUGGUAAUCACUAGAGUUGUGAGGAGCCAUUGUAUAUGUAUUUUUCUGUCUGUUACUGUUAGUGCCCCUCGUCACUUGCAGCAUGCUGGUUGUUCCAAGCAUUUCUCAAAAGUUAAUAAUGGUCAUACAUGAUCAGAAUAGGAAAGAUCUACCACAACCUUUUACCUGUAUUAAUUUUUUUGUCAUGCAUCUCGAGGGUGUAGGAGGAGUAAGAAUUUUUUCUGAAGAUUUAACUUUAAAAAAAAAAAAAGAAAGCUUUACAUCUAUCCUUUUCUGCUGGGUGUACAUUUGAAAUGGUGGCAAUAGGGUGGGUGGGAUUGUAGUACAUUUCUUUUGGGAGGCUGGUAAGAAGCCCCUAAAAAUGUUUUGUGUGGUGUGUGUGAAAUGUUCCUUUGAGUUUGCAGUUUUAACAUCUUGCAGGGAAGUGUAGACCUGUGUUGCAACAAAUAAGGAGAAUUGUUUAUUAUAUAUCAACUCUAAAGUCCACAAAAAAUGGUCACUGAAAGAGUGAUAAGAAAAUUUAAAAUACAAAGGACAUGAAUAAAUGUUGACAUGAUACUUGAAGGAGAUGAAAAGCAUACAUGUAAUUGUGUAUGCUAUUUGGUUUUAAAAUCACCUUUGUUCAUGCCACUCACUGGAUUUUUUUUUUUUAAUCAUGGCUUUACUGGAGACUUUAUUUAGCUACCAUUGUUUCCCUCCCCCACCACUUUCCCUUCAUUCUAUGUGAAACUUGGAUUGUAAGUCUUGCAUAUGCAUUGAUGUUUGGAAAGUGUGUGUGUUUGAAUAUAUGGGGAGUGGGGGUUAUAUUUGUUGAUAUAUAUAUAUACACAUUAGAUUUAUUUCUGGACUGCUUUAUUUAUUUAGCACAAAGAGGCUUCCAUGUUUGUAUAGUCAUUAGAUGUUGACAAAGAAUAUGUUCAUUUUGAAAAUAUUUUGCUGGCAAAUAUAAGUCUUAUAGGAGACAUUUUACUUAACAUAUAUUUUUCUGGUUAUGUAGAUGUAGCACAACUUUUUGAUACAUUAACAAGAUGUACACCGUCCUCAGUUUGUUUUUCUGUGUUUUGUGUUCAACACUUCCCAGUCAACACAUUAACUUGUUGCCAGUUAUCUUUUCUGAACUGUAAUGAUCAACCAUCUUUAACAUUUGUUCAUUUGUCACUGUUAUUCCAUGUGUUGUUGAGAUUCUGUGGUUAAAAAAGAAAGCCUGUUUUAUAGAGGAAAAAAAAUUUACCCUUCAGCUGAGAUCUUGUCAUAGUGGGCUGGAGGAAGCACCUAUAGAUUUAACAACAGCUAGGAGUGAAAAUUUUUUGCAUAAAAGCUUCAGCUGGGGAAGAAUUGUGUUAUUGUCUUAAAGUAACCCAUGAUAACUGGGUUUGAAACUGUAUACAGAGAAAACAGCCCUUUCCCCCACCAAGUUUUGUUAAAGAGGAUAUGUAACCUCAUAUAAAGCUCUGCUGCAUUGAGCUAUUAAAAUUCCACAGGCAUUAAUGUAUAGAAUGAUUAUGUUUUCAUAUUUUACUGGUGAUGCUGGCCUUUGCUAUGGGAGCAAUUUUACUGCUUAAUUUACAUUUAUGGAUAAAAAUAAAUAUCUGCUACCUUUUUUUUCCCCUUUGUGUACAUCAUGGCUGUUACUAUAUUCCAGAGGAAUUAAAGAUAUAUUCUUGCAAGGUUUCUACCAGCAUUGUGUUUAGCUUUAUCUUUUAUCUUUUAUUCUUUUUUUGGUAGUCUGUACAUGUAAAAAAAUUAGACAUUUUAAAUUUUUUAGAAAUUUCUUUCUGGCUGUUUUGAUAACUGUCUUUGGAAAAUAUGUUUACAUUUAUAUUUUUAAAAAAAACCAAAAAGGGAGAUCAAUAUUGUAAUGCUAACAGCAUUUGCAGUGUAAAAAACAUGUUUGUAGCAAUAUGCAUGCAUGUUGUCAAGCACAGUAGUGAAAAGCAUCCAUAUCUGCAUUGGGAUAAAUGAAUACUUCUGCAGAUUUUUAAGGUGUGAAUGGAUAUCUGCAUGCAUGGCUGGUGUGUAUAGUUAACUCAGGUACCCGCGAGAAGUUCAGGAGGAUGUUAGUUACCUAUUAAACAGCUUCAUUUUCUUAUGUAAAGUGGGGUUUUUUUUUAAAAAUUUUUAAAUUGAUGGUCCCCUUUUCUAUGUAGCAAGAAAAACUAUGCCUGCAGCACCAUGUGUUGAUUUUAAAAAUAUGCUAUAUCCCUGUUGCAGACUUCUUUCUAUGCACAUUUCUUAUGUGUGAUUGGAGAAUUUUUUAGGCUCAUUUCAAUGUGCUUCAUAAUAGUUUGUGCUUAGAUAAACAUAUGCAUGCAUGAGAGGGAGUCUUGUUCUGACAUUCUUACUCUGUCCCACAAGGCCAAAACAUUGUUUCUUUGAACCUUUUUCAGCAUAUUUUGUGACCCUAAAGCCUGCCUUUGUAACAACUCAUCAGUAAAGGGGGGAUAAGACUUGUAGAAUGCCUUCUCACUUUGUGCUUAAGUAACCAAAGACUGUUUUCCCUGUGAGAGAGAGCGAUUGAACUAUCAGUUAAGAAGCAAGAAAUUGUAUUGGUCUAGUCCUGCUUUAAUGCAUCUUCUUGCAGUAUGUCUUUACUUGGGGACUGGCACUACUGCAUGUCCAUUCAGAGCAUGUUCCUUCUGAAUUUACUGAUGGAUAAACUGCAGGGACAAAGUGCAGAUAUGAAAUCAAUUUUUAUGAUUUGCAAGAUAUCUUGCCAGUCUUCGUGGAAGUUACGUGUGUGUGCACACAUUCUCACACCUGUAGACUGUAGGGAAAGCAUUACUUGUGUUUUACACCAUGUGCUCAUGAAAUGUCAAUAAAUCCUGAUGAUUUGUGCUUUUUAAAAAUUUACAAUCUUCCAUGGUGAAGAUUUAUCUGCAUAGGGGUAUGAAACCACAUAUAUGCCCCUUGUCAUUGGUCAGUUUCCAGUUUCUCUUUACCAGUGAAUGUGAUGGCUUCUUGUGCUAGGGCUGAGACAAGAUAAGUUGAUUAAAAUUUGUAUAAUAUUAUCUUUAUUCUAAUAGCCUUAGCUGCAUAUUGUUCAACAUCAGACCUUAAAAAAGGGAACUUUAUGUGCUGAAAGUGGUGCUCUAGGUGGCUUGUGUGAAAAUAACAAUGUAACUGCUGCUAUUCUUUUUUUCAGCUGGAUGACAUACAUGUUAAGAAUCUAUACAAAGAGAGUGAGUUUAAAAGGAGUUGAUAUUUUUGGCCCCUGCUGAAUGGCAUACACUUAAUUGUGUACUCAAUAGUGCUUUGCCGUACAAAUAGCUCCAUGGGAUUAUGUACCAAGGUAUUUUUCUUUUUGAAUAAGUGAUUGUUUUGCUUUUGUUAACGUUUUCAAUGCCAAGUAUUUGGAUACUUAAUGCCAAGGCAGUUAGGCUGCUCAAUGCAUAGUGAAAUUUGUUCUUCAAAUGGAACCUUUUCAUGUUUUUAUGCCCCUUUCACAGCUAGAAAGGACUCAAAAUUUGGAACCAGUAGAAACCUAAAUCCAUUUCACUUGAAAACAUGAAGAACAUUUACAGGGACAAGAAAAAUAAAGGAUAUGGUUUUUGUGUCCUGUAAUAAGAUCAAACAUAGUAAAAUGAAUGCAGAAUAAAAAUUAGUUUGAAAGAUUUUUUUUUAAAACCCUCUUAUUAUUUUAUUUAAUGGGAUGUGAAGAGAUCCUGUUUCACUGUUGCAAGUUUCCUAAUUUUUAAUCUUUCAAUGAAGUUGCUGCUAAUCUUGUCAUUUAUGGAUGAUAACACCAUUAAUUAUUUUUGGAGUGCAACCAUUUGAAUGCAGAAGCAGACUACACAUAUUUUUUGACAGUUUUCAAAGCAGGAGGGCAGUCUGGUGGUGCAGUGGUUAGCACCUGUCACCAGUUCAGGUAGAAAUGGUUGUCCUGUGUUCAGAUCUUAUCUCGAACAUGCUGCUUUUUCUCUGCAUGUAGCAUGUUUACAGGGCUUAGUUUCUGGCUUGGUAUAAAACACCAAUUUUGUUCUUCUCCUUUCAAAGCAGUAGAAAAUGUUAAUUUAUGCUCAGUUAAAAGGAAAUGCUAUUGGGUUUGGCUUAUUCUAAUUAAAUCACUUCUUGUAUUUCGUUAUUGCCUAAAGGAGCUUAAAAACAUUCUUAUUAAUAGAGUUGCAAGUGUUUAAAAUUACAGGCAUCAAUAAAUUUUUUUUAAAUAGAACUUUGGCCUGUAUGUAAACACUUUCACCCCUUUUUUUUUCACUUGUUUAAAGUCAUCGAUGGUUCUGCUGUGACACUUCUUGUUUUUUUCUCUUGUUUUUGUCACCCCCUUGCCAUAAUGUAAUCAUUUUAAAACACAAAUUUUGUUGGACCUUCAGUGAAGUUCACUAAAAAAGUGUAAUUAUUUUGACAUUGGGUUUUUUCCAUCUUCACCUGGGAAAAGGGUUUAGCUUUUUCCUUCAAAAAAGAAUUUUGUAUUUAUCAGCUCAUAGGUUAUUGUUGUAUUGUAAUACUUAAAUGAGUGUAAAUAUUUUAAAUUAAUCUACAAGAACGGGCAAUAAGAUGGGUUAGGUAGUGUACACCACUACUCAGUUUUAAGAAAUUGUGUUCUGAUCCAGUUUUAAUUUCAGUUGUGAGUUGUAAUUAAUGAUUUGAUUAUCAACAUAUGUUAUGUCCUCUUUAAGGAAACCAUAGCUAUUGAGGAUAAUCUUUUAAUUGUUUGAAGUUUUCAUCCAGACUGCAAACAGAAAAUAAGCAUUAUUGAUGACUUUCCGCACAUUAAGAUCGCAUAAUCUUGCGAUGAAAUUAUUUCUUCCUUCUCUCUCCCUCUCUCUCUGUCUUCUCCCAUUCCCAUUUUCUUUCCUCCACCUUACUACAGGACUAAUUUCAGAGAGUAAGGCUGUUUAUUGACUGCAGCUAUUAUUUCACAACCUCCCACCAAAAGGUCACUGAAGACAAGCAGCUUGUCUUGCUUUUAUAAGGUUUUUAAAUGAUUUUGGGUGAAUGUUUUUCUUUAAUUACAUGGUAAUGGCCAUUAUUGUCCUUGCUGUUGGUUACGGCAAUUAUCUUCAUGAUUUUAUUAACCCUAUGGAAAGGAAACUUUCUGCUCUUUGAAUGGAAUUUAAUGCUCCUAAAAUAACAUUGACCAUCAUUUUCUUAAAACAAAAGAAUUAGAAUAGUUGUGUUUUGUUGUUCAUGUAUGUAUUCCAUUCAUUCACUCACAGAUUAUUCUUCAUGCUAGUCACCUGUCUUAAAUGGCUGUGUUCUAUAAGUAUGAAGUAUGUGUAAAAUACAUGAAGGUGUUGUAAUCAGUUAUUUGGAUUGGAAUCGUUAACCUGGUUGACUUUGUAUGCAAGCAGUUUAAUAUCUGGAACCCUCUGUAUUUAUGCACUUUCCGUUUUUCAAUAGUUGCUUUGAGUACACUAUCUGCUUUUUAUCUUUGCGUCAUCAUGAACUUCACAGGAAAGAUUGUUGAUUACGAGAAAAGAUAAAUUUUUUCUCCUUCCCCCAUGGGAGGUUAAAAAGUUAAAUUGUAGUUUCAGUUUUCCAGAGCUGGCAAGUUUGAUAUUAAAAAAGUCAUUCUUGCUUUUCUGUAUAUUUUAGCCUUAAAAACUGUCUUUAAUUUUUGAUUUUGUAUUAGCAGAUAUUGAGUUGAUGAAAUAUAGGUAGGCAGGUGAGGUCUGUGGAAGUUAUUUAUACAAGCACGUUUGCAUGUUUGAUUUCUGUUGUGUUUCUUUGAUAUUUGACAGUCACGUGUGAUUAGUUCACUACAUCAAAAUGUUUUUUGCACAUAAAGUAUCUUGUCCACCAGGGUAUGACAAGAACUGUUGUGCGAUUGGAGUAGGUCUUUUAUUCUUUUUCUUUUCUUUUGACCUUUUUUUCUUGCAAGAAUCUGGAAUGCCCAGUACAUCUAGAAUAUCUACCUUUGUGCAGGGUGACAUAGAAAAGCGAUUUGGAGUGUAUAUUUGAUACCGUUUUACUCAACCCUUCAUUUUGUACAAAAACAUAAUGAUACACAAUAGCUCUUUAUAUCAUAAUAAUAAAGUUAUUUGUAAAUCAUA